UGCAGUCGAACGGCAGCACAGAGAAGCUUGCUUCUUGGGUGGCGAGUGGCGAACGGGUGAGUAAUAUAUCGGAACGUACCGAGUAAUGGGGGAUAACUAAUCGAAAGAUUAGCUAAUACCGCAUAUUCUCUGAGGAGGAAAGCAGGGGACCUUCGGGCCUUGCGUUAUUCGAGCGGCCGAUAUCUGAUUAGCUAGUUGGUGGGGUAAAGGCCUACCAAGGCGACGAUCAGUAGUGGGUCUGAGAGGAUGAUCCGCCACACUGGGACUGAGACACGGCCCAGACUCCUACGGGAGGCAGCAGUGGGGAAUUUUGGACAAUGGGCGCAAGCCUGAUCCAGCCAUGCCGCGUGUCUGAAGAAGGCCUUCGGGUUGUAAAGGACUUUUGUCAGGGAAGAAAAGGAUAGGGUUAAUACCCCUGUCUGAUGACGGUACCUGAAGAAUAAGCACCGGCUAACUACGUGCCAGCAGCCGCGGUAAUACGUAGGGUGCGAGCGUUAAUCGGAAUUACUGGGCGUAAAGCGAGCGCAGACGGUUACUUAAGCAGGAUGUGAAAUCCCCGGGCUCAACCUGGGAACUGCGUUCUGAACUGGGUGACUAGAGUGUGUCAGAGGGAGGUAGAAUUCCACGUGUAGCAGUGAAAUGCGUAGAGAUGUGGAGGAAUACCGAUGGCGAAGGCAGCCUCCUGGGAUAACACUGACGUUCAUGCUCGAAAGCGUGGGUAGCAAACAGGAUUAGAUACCCUGGUAGUCCACGCCCUAAACGAUGUCAAUUAGCUGUUGGGCAACUUGAUUGCUUAGUAGCGUAGCUAACGCGUGAAAUUGACCGCCUGGGGAAUACGGUCGCAGAAUUAAAACUCAAAGGAAUUGACGGGGACC
rnacentral:rRNA from 1 species